rnacentral:rRNA from 1 species
AGAGUUUGAUCCUGGCUCAGGACGAACGCUGGCGGCGUGCCUAACACAUGCAAGUCGAGCGGGGAUUACCGGAUGAAGUUUUCGGAUGGAUUGCGGUAAUUCUAGCGGCGGACGGGUGAGUAACGCGUGAGCAACCUGCCUCUCACAGGGGGAUAACGCAGCGAAAGUUGCACUAAUACCGCAUGAGACCACGCUUCUGACAUGGGAGAGGGGUCAAAGGAGCAAUCCGGUGAGAGAUGGGCUCGCGUCUGAUUAGCUGGUUGGUGAGGUAACGGCCCACCAAGGCGACGAUCAGUAGCCGACCUGAGAGGGUGAUCGGCCACAUUGGAACUGAGAGACGGUCCAAACUCCUACGGGAGGCAGCAGUGGGGAAUAUUGGGCAAUGGGGGAAACCCUGACCCAGCAACGCCGCGUGAAGGAAGAAGGUUUUCGGAUCGUAAACUUCUAUCCUUGGUGAAAAUAAUGAUGGUAGCCAAGAAGGAAGCCCCGGCUAACUACGUGCCAGCAGCCGCGGUAAUACGUAGGGGGCAAGCGUUGUCCGGAAUGAUUGGGCGUAAAGGGCGCGUAGGCGGCCUGAUAAGUUUGAAGUGAAAGUCCUUCUUUUAAGGAGGGAACUGCUUUGAAAACUGUCGGGCUUGAGUGCAGGAGAGGUAAGCGGAAUUCCCGGUGUAGCGGUGAAAUGCGUAGAGAUCGGGAGGAACACCAGUGGCGAAGGCGGCUUACUGGACUGUUACUGACGCUGAGGCGCGAAAGUGUGGGGAGCAAACAGGAUUAGAUACCCUGGUAGUCCACACUGUAAACGAUGAAUGCUAGGUGUAGGGGGUAUCGACC